AACGAACGCUGGCGGCAUGCCUAACACAUGCAAGUCGAACGAGACCUUCGGGUUUAGUGGCGCACUGGUGCGUAACGCGUGGGAACCUGCCCUUAGGUUCGGAAUAACGCCCCGAAAGGGGUCCUAAUACCGGAUAAUGUCUUCGGUCCAAAGAUUUAUCGCCUUUGGAUGGGCCCGCGUUGGAUUAGCUAGUUGGUAGGGUAAAAGCCUACCACGGCGACGAUACGUAGCUGGUCUGAGAGGAUGAUCAGCCACACUGGCGCUGAGACACGGCCCAGAAUCCUACGGGAGGCAGCAGUGGGGAAUAUUGGACAAUGGGCGAUAGCCUGAUCCAGCAAUGCCGCGUGAGUGAUGAAGGCCUUAGGGUUGUAAAGUUCUUUUACCCGGGAUGAUAAUGACAGUACCGGGAGAAUAAGCUCCGGCUAACUCCGUG
rnacentral:rRNA from 1 species